rnacentral:hammerhead_ribozyme from 1 species
AUCCAGCUGACGAGUCCUAAAUGGUACGAAACCAGUGUCCUGGAU